AUUGAACGCUGGCGGCGUGCUUAACACAUGCAAGUCGAACGCGAAAGGGGCUUCGGCCCUGAGUUAAGUGGUGCACGGGUGGGUAACGCGUGGAUAAUCUGCCCUUAUGAUCGGGAUAACAGUAGGAAACGGCUGCUAAUACCGGACACGCUCAAGAUGAACUUUUUGAGGAUAGAUGGCCUCUGCUUGCAUGCUAUCGCGUAAGGAUGAGUCCCGGUCCCAUUAGCUUGUUGGCGGGGUAACGGCCCACCAAGGCAACGAUGGGUAGCCGAUCUGAGAGGAUGAUCGGCCACACUGGAACUGAGACACGGUCCAGACUCCUACGGGAGGCAGCAGUGGGGAAUAUUGCGCAAUGGGCGAAAGCCUGACGCAGCGACGCCGCGUGAGGGAUGAAGGUCUUCGGAUCGUAAACCUCUGUCAGAAGGGAAGAAACUACGUUGUGGUAAUCAGCAGUGUACUGACGGUACCUACAAAGGAAGCACCGGCUAACUCCGUG
rnacentral:rRNA from 1 species